GAUCAUGUAGUACUGAAAUAUUUACUGUUUAAAAAUAUCUGUCAUUGGAAACGCCUCAUAGAUUAACUGUGUGGUUUCCUUUACUCAUAGAACUACCUGUUAGAUCUGUGGGAAAGAACUACAAGACAGAG